AGCGAACGCUGGCGGCAGGCUUAACACAUGCAAGUCGAGCGGGCACUUUCGGGUGUCAGCGGCGGACGGGUGAGUAACACGUGGGAACGUGCCCUCUGGUUCGGAAUAACUCAGGGAAACUUGAGCUAAUACCGGAUACGCCCUUUUGGGGAAAGGCUUGCUGCCGGAGGAUCGGCCCGCGUCUGAUUAGCUAGUUGGUGAGGUAACGGCUCACCAAGGCGACGAUCAGUAGCUGGUCUGAGAGGAUGAUCAGCCACACUGGGACUGAGACACGGCCCAGACUCCUACGGGAGGCAGCAGUGGGGAAUAUUGGACAAUGGGCGCAAGCCUGAUCCAGCCAUGCCGCGUGAGUGAUGAAGGCCUUAGGGUUGUAAAGCUCUUUUAUCCGGGACGAUAAUGACGGUACCGGAGGAAUAAGCCCCGGCUAACUUCGUG
rnacentral:rRNA from 1 species